rnacentral:rRNA from 1 species
GCUUAACGCGAAGAACCUUACCUGGCCUUGACAUCCAUGGAAUCCCGAAGAGAUUUGGGAGUGCCGCAAGGAACCAUGAGACAGGUGCUGCAUGGCUGUCGUCAGCUCGUGUCGUGAGAUGUUGGGUUAAGUCCCGCAACGAGCGCAACCCUUGUCCUUAGUUGCCAUCAUUAAGUUGGGAACUCUAAGGAGACCGCCGGUGACAAACCGGAGGAAGGUGGGGAUGACGUCAAGUCAUCAUGGCCUUUAUGGCCAGGGCUACACACGUGCUACAAUGGCAGGUACAGAGGGAAGCCAACCAGCAAUGGGGAGCCAAUCCCAGAAAGCCUGUCUUAGUCCGGAUUGCAGUCUGCAACUCGACUGCAUGAAGUUGGAAUCGCUAGUAAUCGCAGAUCAGCAUUGCUGCGGUGAAUACGUUCCCGGGUCUUGUACACACCG